GUCUAUGGCCAUGCUACCCUGAACAAGCCCAAUCCCGUCUGAUCUCAGAAGAUAAGCAAGGUCAGGCCUGGUUAGUACUUGGAUGGGAGACCACCUAGAAAGACCAGGUGCUGUAGGUG
rnacentral:rRNA from 1 species